AUCGCAUCUUGCGUUUGCAAUUGUUAAUAGGAAUAAAUCAAGACAUCAGAAUGUGAAUUCUUGAGUGCACAUGGAGCUUUGGCAUUGGAGGCGGUGAUGUGGAAGUGAUUAUCCUGAAGACAAUCAGACUGUCAGACGACUGGCAGCUCACGCUCUGAGGAUUGAAUUUUAAAGAGCGGCCUGACCUGUGCCACGGUCGCUACCACUUUUUCUGAUCGUCGUUACCAUGGUAUCAUCACCUCCUGUCAGGCUCUGAUCUGAGAGCAGCCUCUGACUCAGAUUGUCAUCUUAAAGAAUGAAAAGGAAGGUAAAAAAGCAUCGCUCUCAGUUCUCUAAUGGGCCCAGACGACUGCUCACCUUUGAGCCUAACGCAGCCUGAGAGCAGCAGAAGCAUAGCAGAGGAUUAGCAGCCAUGCGUGACUGAUGGGGAGAAGAUACGCCAUCAGAAUAAGUUAGAGGACGAAGAUCUCUCCUCCUCCUCCUCUCCCCUCUUGAUUUCUUUGUGCAUGAAAGCGAAAGAGAGAGAGAGAGAGAGAGAGAGAGAGAGGAAAAGGGAGAGGAGGAGAGAUGCUCACUCUGUCUGAAGUGUCAUCCUCUCUGCUCGUCUUAUGAAACAGGAAUAAGUGGCUGGUUGAAGUGGAAGGAGACUCUGUUGGGGUGAAUCUAAUCCGAUACAUGUUUCUGUGGCUGGAUGUGACGCCACAUCACCUGCACUGUAGCCCGAGGCCCUCAUUACUGUCACCGACUGACUCACUCUGA